GGUAAAGCAAUCUUCCCAUCUGAAAUAGAAUCAACAAGAUCCUGAAAUUCUGCAGGAACAUCAGCUUGCUUCCAGCGCUCAUUGUCUAAGAGGAGGCUAGUCCACAAUAAAAAGAAAAGAAGGGGCAUAUAUAAAGACCACUUGAUUCCUUGCCAUCCGUUCAAUUUAGUGUUGUUACCAUAAGCCAAGAUGGGACCAUCUAGUUCCCGGAAAACAAGCUCAGGGCUCCCACUGACUCUACAUUAUGAGUCUCAGUCUAUCACCCAGGCUGGAGUGCACUGCAACCUCCACUUCCCAGGUUCAAGCAAUUCUCCUGCCUCAGCCUCCCAAGCAGCUGGGAUUACAGGCGCUCACCACUGCACUCAGCUAAACAUCAUAAAAUUUACUCUUCUAAGGUAAGUACAUAAAACCUGACUACUCAUUUAAAGAUAAUACAAAUCAUCGGUAAA